GACAGAGGGUGCAAACGUUGCUCGGAAUCACUGGGCGUAAAGGGCGCGUAGGCGGUCAGCACAAGUCAGUUGUGAAAUCUCCGGGCUUAACUCGGAAAGGUCAACUGAUACUGUGCGACUAGAGUGCAGAAGGGGCAACUGGAAUUCUCGGUGUAGCGGUGAAAUGCGUAGAUAUCGUUUGGAACGCCAAUGGUGAAAACAGGUUGCUGGGAGUGUGCUGACGCUGAGACACGAAAGCCAGGGGAGCAAACGGG
rnacentral:rRNA from 1 species